CACUUUACAUCAAAGUCUCUCUCACUGAUCUGUGAUCUGAAGGGGAACUCUACUGGAUGGAGACUGAUGAGAUACACAGAGACAGGAGUGGAGUCAGGGUGUUCCCCUAACUGGGGAUCAAUAACAGGGUCCACAUGUACCAUCACCUCCACAGACACAGGGGACAGUGGAGUGUACUGGUGUGAGUCUGGAUCAGGACAGUACAGUAAUGCUGUCAACAUCACAGUGUCUGGUUCUCUGGUCUCCAUCUCUCUGUCCAGACUGCUGUGUGGUCUACUGGUGGUGUCUCCAUUUCUACUGGUGUCCAUCAUAC
ensembl:lncRNA